rnacentral:sRNA from 1 species
CACUGUUGCUUCGGCGGGGAACCCCCUCGGGGGCGAGCCGCCGGGGACUACUGAACUUCAUGCCUGAGAGUGAUGCAGUCUGAGUCUGAAUAUAAAAUCAGUCAAAACUUUCAACAAUGGAUCUCUUGGUUCCGGCAUCGAUGAAGAACGCAGCGAACUGCGAUAAGUAAUGUGAAUUGCAGAAUUCAGUGAAUCAUCGAGUCUUUGAACGCACAUUGCGCCCCCUGGCAUUCCGGGGGGCAUGCCUGUCCGAGCGUCAUUGCUGCCCAUCAAGCCCGGCUUGUGUGUUGGGUCGUCGUCCCCCCCCGGGGGACGGGCCCGAAAGGCAGCGGCGGCACCGUGUCCGGUCCUCGAGCGUAUGGGGCUUUGUCACCCGCUCGACUAGGGCCGGCCGGGCGCCAGCCGACGUCUCCAACCAUUUUUCUUCAGGUUGACCUCGGAUCAGGUAGGGAUACCCGCUGAACUUAAGCAUAUCAAUAAGCGGAGGAAAAGAAACCAACCGGGAUUGCCUCAGUAACGGCGAGUGAAGCGGCAAGAGCUCAAAUUUGAAAUCUGGCCCCUCCGGGGUCCGAGUUGUAAUUUGCAGAGGAUGCUUCGGGUGCGGCCCCUGUCUAAGUGCCCUGGAACGGGCCGUCAGAGAGGGUGAGAAUCCCGUCUUGGGCAGGGUGCCCGUGCCCGUGUGAAGCUCCUUCGACGAGUCGAGUUGUUUGGGAAUGCAGCUCAAAAUGGGUGGUAAAUUUCAUCUAAAGCUAAAUACCGGCCGGAGACCGAUAGCGCACAAGUAGAGUGAUCGAAAGAUGAAAAGCACUUUGAAAAGAGAGUUAAACAGCACGUGAAAUUGUUGAAAGGGAAGCGCUUGCAACCAGACUCGGCCUCGGGGUUCAGCCAGCAUUCGUGCUGGUGUACUUCCCCGGGGCCGGGCCAGCGUCGGUUUGGGCGGCCGGUCAAAG